AACGCUAGCUACAGGCUUAACACAUGCNAGUCGCGGGCAGCAUAGGGUUUAGCAAUAAAAUUCGGAUGGCGACCGGCGCACGGGUGAGUAACACGUAUCCAACCUGCCCUUUACUUGGGGAUAGCCUUGCGAAAGCAAGAUUAAUACCCGAUGGCAUUGUUUUCCCGCAUGGGAAAUCAAUUAAAGGAGAAAUUUGGUAAAGGAUGGGGAUGCGUUCCAUUAGGCAGUAGGCGGGGUAACGGCCCACCUAACCGACGAUGGAUAGGGGUUCUGAGAGGAAGGUCCCCCACAUUGGAACUGAGACACGGUCCAAACUCCUACGGGAGGCAGCAGUGAGGAAUAUUGGUCAAUGGCCGUAAGGCUGAACCAGCCAAGUAGCGUGAAGGACGACGGCCCUACGGGUUGUAAACUUCUUUUAUAAGGGAAUAAAGUUGCGUACGUGUACGCAUUUGCAUGUACCUUAUGAAUAAGCAUCGGCUAACUCCGUGCCAGCAGCCGCGGUAAUACGGAGGAUGCGAGCGUUAUCCGGAUUUAUUGGGUUUAAAGGGAGCGCAGACGGGAGGGUAAGUCAGCUGUGAAAGUUUGCGGCUCAACCGUAAAAUUGCAGUUGAAACUGUCUUUCUUGAGUGCGGCAGAGGCAGGCGGAAUUCGUGGUGUAGCGGUGAAAUGCUUAGAUAUCACGAAGAACUCCGAUUG
rnacentral:rRNA from 1 species